UACGGAGGAUGCAGGCGUUAUCCGGAUUCAUUGGGUUUAAAGGGUGCGUAGGCGGGCUAUUAAGUCAGUGGUGAAAUCCUGCAGCUUAACUGCAGAACUGCCGUUGAUACUGAUAGUCUUGAGUUUGGUUAAGGUAGGCGGAAUGUGUAAUGUAGCGGUGAAAUGCUUAGAUAUUACACAGAACACCAAUUGCGUAGGCAGCUUACUGAGCCGACACUGACGCUGAGGCACGAAAGCGUGGGGAUCAAACAGGA
rnacentral:rRNA from 1 species